GGAAAGAUAAGCUAAGCUUAAGCUAACGGGCUCAUACCCCGUCUAUGAAGACUCUUCUCUUUUCA
rnacentral:tRNA from 1 species